UACGGGGGGAGCAAGCGUUGUUCGGAUUUACUGGGCGUAAAGGGCUCGUAGGCGGCCAACUAAGUCAGACGUGAAAUCCCUCGGCUUAACCGGGGAACUGCGUCUGAUACUGGAUGGCUUGAAUCCGGGAGAGGGAUGCGGAAUUCCAGGUGUAGCGGUGAAAUGCGUAGAUAUCUGGAGGAACACCGGUGGCGAAGGCGGCAUCCUGGACCGGCAUUGACGCUGAGGAGCGAAAGCCAGGGGAGCAAACGGG
rnacentral:rRNA from 1 species